CUCUCGACUUGCUGACCAUGGACCGCGAUGUGCCACUAACCACAGCAUGAUAACUCGGACCUGGAACCGGAGAGUCUGGGUGCAAACCGAUGCUUCUGCUGCGCAUUGCCACACGGGACCAAGACCAACCGGCCGACCAGGUGAGCAAGAACAACCAGGUAAAAUUUAUUACUUAUAAAAUUAGGACAAGAACUUUACCCAAAAUCACUCUACCAGUGCUUCAUCUAUAUUAUGAUAUAAAAUAAACCGAGAAUCAUGAGGGG
rnacentral:lncRNA from 1 species